AGGGGUGUGGUGUUAAUGGUAGCAUAUCGGUCUCCAAAACCGCAGGUUAGGGUUCGAAUCCCUACGCUCUUG
rnacentral:tRNA from 1 species